GUGGGGAAUCUUCCGCAAUGGACGAAAGUCUGACGGAGCAACGCCGCGUGAACGAUGACGGCCUUCGGGUUGUAAAGUUCUGUUAUACGGGACGAAUGGUACGACGGCCAAUACCCGUCGUAAGUGACGGUACCGUAAGAGAAAGCCACGGCUAACUACGUGCCAGCAGCCGCGGUAAUACGUAGGUGGCAAGCGUUGUCCGGAAUUAUUGGGCGUAAAGGGCGCGCAGGCGGCGUCGUAAGUCGGUCUUAAAAGUGCGGGGCUGAACCCCGUGAGGGGACCGAAACUGCGAUGCUAGAGUAUCGGAGAGGAAAGCGGAAUUCCUAGUGUAGCGGUGAAAUGCGUAGAUAUUAGGAGGAACACCAGUGGCGAAAGCGGCUUUCUGGACGACAACUGACGCUGAGGCGCGAAAGCCAGGGGAGCAAACGGGAUUAGAAACCCCAGUAGUCC
rnacentral:rRNA from 1 species